GCCAUACCCACUGUCCUUGGGAAGCCUACUCAAUGUCUUCACCAUUUACUGAUGAACAUGAUGGCAUACUGAAGAGUCUAAGUCAGAAAGAGAUGGAGAGAGUAGAGAGACCAGAGAGUGACAGAAGAAAGCUGACCUUCAGCCUCAAUGUAAAACAUCAAGAAAGAAAUAGUCAAGAGAAUGGAGUCAUGACUUCUGUGCAGGAAAAUGGAAGCUUCCUGGAGGAAGUGGACUUGAGCUUAAUCUUCCAAUAAUGGGCCUCAAAAAGCUGGAGUGUCUGGGAACCAACAGAACUUCCCUGCUUAUUAUGGCUCUUGAAAUUCAAGGAUUCCAGGAUAUUAAUUUUUCUGGUUCCGAAGUCAGCAAAUGGAGGAAAUUCGUCAAAGAUCUGUUUACAGAAACCUUAAUAAAGAAGCACAGAAAUUAGAAGGAUACAAAGAAGAUUUCACAGGAGCAAUUUGUAAUUCCCAGCAAGACAAAAUUUUCUUUACUAUUCUGGCACUCAAGUCAGAGGCAGAUAUACCUGCACCUAUCUUUUGAGUUUUGGGGUUAAAGUCAUAAGACAAUA